ACUGCAUUGGCAUACGGUUCAACUGACUUUUUUACGGAGUGAAGUGCAGAAAAAUGAGUUAAGCUUUCCCUAAAGCCAUAUAUUUUACAUAACGGUAUUGCGAGUAAUAUUCGAAAUAGGUGGAGCGCGGCUAGACCCGCUGCCAAUACUACCCCACCCCUCCUGGCCCAUGAAAUCAAUUAAGCGUAGAACGCCGUAACGCGAAAAUCGAUUUCGCUUUCGGCUGCGGGCGCAAGCAAUAACAGAAACACCAGCUAGAAUGUCCCCGUGGACAGUGGAUACGGGAAUGGAGAUGACUGCCAACGGGCGGCGGAGGAAGGCAAUGCACCAGCCUGGUUCUACCAGCUGGCACGGACACUGGCAACGGGCACUGCUUCUGGCGGGGAUUAUCCUGAGUAUUCUAACGACAGGCUGCGAUGCCACGGACACCGACAUCGCCCUGGACGCCAAGGCCACUCUGAAUCAUCGUAUCCAAAGCCUCGAUCUGCUCGUCUUUGUGUUCCUGUUGGCCCUUACGGUUCUCACCAUAUGGCUGUUCAAGCACCAUCGAGUGUCCUGGCUACAUGAGACGGGUCUGGCCGUAAUUUACGGUCUGAUUGUGGGAGCCAUAAUACGCUAUGCCGGCACCUCCACCACCCUGGUCCAUAUGCAGGUGGAGCCCCAGGGCACUCCGGUCUACAGCGAUAAGCUGCCACCAGAUACGCUCUGGUUUAAGUAUCCAGUCAACCAGACCAAUGGCACCAAGAACCCCGAGGGCAUUAAAACAUAUGCCUACGUUUUCCGCGGGCAGGUCUACAACGAGGAUGAGAACGAAAUAGAUCUGAAGGCGACAUUCGAUCCGGAGGUAUUCUUCAACAUCAUACUGCCUCCGAUCAUCUUCUACGCGGGCUACAGCUUAAAAAAAAAAUAUUUCUUUCGAAAUUUGGGUGCCAUUCUUACCUUUGCUAUUGUGGGGACCACACUGUCGGCCUUCCUCAUCGGUGGUUUCAUGUACGGCUGUGUGAAACUGAUGCCCAACUACCUGAGCACCGGCUUCUCGUUCUUGGACACCCUCUACUUUGGAGCCUUGAUUUCGCCCACAGACCCGCUCACCAUUCUGGCCAUUUUCAGUGACCUGCGGGUCGAUGUGAAUCUGUACGCUCUGGUUUUGGGGGAAUCUGUCCUGAACGAUGCCGUGGCCAUUGUUCUGAGCGGAGCCAUUCAAAACUAUGGAGAACACUAUUCCAACAGUGGGGAGUUCGAAACGACGGCGUUUUUGCGGUCUAUGAGUGACUUCUUCUCCAUUUUCCUACUGUCGCUGAUGAUUGGAGCUGCGAUGGGCUGUCUGACAGCAUUGAUGACAAAGUUUACGCGGGUUCGCGAUUUCCCACUCUUGGAGUCGGCUCUCUUCGUCCUCAUGAGCUACAGCACUUUCUUGCUGGCCGAGGCGACGGAGCUGACGGGAGUGGUGGCCGUGCUCUUCUGUGGCAUCUGCCAGGCCCAUUACACCUACAACAAUCUCUCGGAGGACUCCCGGCAGCGAACAAAACAAAUAUUUGAGUUACUCAACUUUCUGGCAGAGAACUUUAUCUUUUCCUACAUUGGAGUGUCUAUGUUUACCUUCCCGAAGCAUCAUUUUGAUGCCGGAUUUAUUAUAACAGCUUUUAUCUGCGCCGCGCUGGGACGAGCCGUCAACGUGUAUCCCCUAUCCUGGUUGCUAAACAUCAGACGAAAGCCCAAAAUCUCCACAAACUUCCAGCACAUGCUCUUCUUUGCUGGGUUACGAGGCGCCAUGUCCUUUGCCCUGGCGAUUCGGAACACAGUAUCUGAUGCUCGACAGACCAUGUUGACGGCCACGUCCCUGAUUGUUAUCUUCACGGUCAUUAUACAGGGCGGGGCGGCUAAUUUUCUGCUCAAUUGGCUGAAGAUACCUGUUGGGGUUGACGAUGAGACUGAACAAUUAAAUAAUUACCAAGUGCACAGUGUUUACAAUUCAAUGGACAAUUCACAUCCGCAGACGUCUGAUGGCUACUUGCAGGAUGUGGAGAGCGGUGGCGGCGGAGGACGCGGCAAGAUGCGUAUGUCAGGAGGAGGCACAGAGUCCAACCUAGACACGCCGAUUGACGGUCCAAACGGAAGCUUGGGUGGCGGUCGUCGCCGCAAUAGUCAUGAAAAGGCAAUUCUUGCCAGGAUUUGGGGAAGCUUCGACACCAAGUACAUGAAGCCACUGCUGACCCACUCGAGACCUACUCUCCUGGAGACUCUGCCCGUCUGUUGCAAUCCCAUCGCCAGGCUGCUCACCACAACGCAGCAACUGACACAGGAUGGUAGCGAGUUCAGGCGCGUUGACUCCGACUCUGAUAUCUGCAUAGACAAUGACACUGGCAAUGGCCUUAGCCAGGACGGUGGGCCAGGAGGCGGUGGGCCGGGGUCAGGCGGAACAGGCGCAAGUGUGGGGCGGCGCAACUCCCUCAGUCGCACGGAGACCCAAACAUGAUAAUCCUAGUCCAGGGAGCCGCCUGUCUGUCAGUCUAAGAAAUGAUUAACCAAUGGCUUCUUAUAGCGCACUGCUGUUAAGAUGUUCGUUUGUAUCGUACAAUUAUAAUUUUUGUAUUUAUUUCCAUAAUCUUAUUUCUUAGAUACUAACACGCGACUAACCAUGUUGAAGGCGAGCAUCGAAAUGUUUAUACUUAAGUUUAUUUUUUUGUUAUUUAUAUUAAUUGGUCUCAUUCGAAAUGAAAAAUGUGGAAAAAUGUACAAAUUAGAUUAUUAUUCUUAUGUUCUUUCUUGUUUACACAAUGUGAUUUGGAACUGUAGUUAUAAAAAUAAAUAAAAUAGCGAUUACUGAUUUGAAUCGAUUCGAAAUAUGAGUUAGGUCUUUGCUGAAACUGGCUACCAAACAUCGAGCUCACACAAUAUGAAUCACCUAUACCUUAUCACACGAAUAACUAUUAAGUCCAUUGUUUAAUAUUGUUUAAAC
rnacentral:misc_RNA from 1 species